rnacentral:rRNA from 1 species
UACGAAGGGGGCUAGCGUUACUCGGAAUUACUGGGCGUAAAGGGCGCGUAGGCGGCUCUGCAAGUCAGGCGUGAAAUUCCUGGGCUCAACCUGGGGACUGCGCUUGAGACUGUUGGGCUAGAGGAUGGAAGAGGGUCGUGGAAUUCCCAGUGUAGAGGCGAAAUUCGUGGAUAUUGGGAAGAACACCGGUGGCGAAGGCGGCGACCUGGUCCAUUACUGACGCUGAGGCGCGACAGCGUGGGGAGCAAACAGG